UAGGGAAUCUUCCACAAUGGACGCAAGUCUGAUGGAGCAACGCCGCGUGAGUGAAGAAGGUUUUCGGAUCGUAAAGCUCUGUUGUUGGUGAAGAAGGAUAGAGGUAGUAACUGGCCUUUAUUUGACGGUAAUCAACCAGAAAGUCACGGCUAACUACGUGCCAGCAGCCGCGGUAAUACGUAGGUGGCAAGCGUUGUCCGGAUUUAUUGGGCGUAAAGCGAGCGCAGGCGGAAGAAUAAGUCUGAUGUGAAAGCCCUCGGCUUAACCGAGGAAUUGCAUCGGAAACUGUUUUUCUUGAGUGCAGAAGAGGAGAGUGGAACUCCAUGUGUAGCGGUGGAAUGCGUAGAUAUAUGGAAGAACACCAGUGGCGAAGGCGGCUCUCUGGUCUGCAACUGACGCUGAGGCUCGAAAGCAUGGGUAGCGAACAGGAUUAGAUACCCUG
rnacentral:rRNA from 1 species